rnacentral:rRNA from 1 species
AACGAACGCUGGCGGCGUGCUUAACACAUGCAAGUCGAACGGAAAGGCCCUGCUUUUGUGGGGUGCUCGAGUGGCGAACGGGUGAGUAACACGUGAGUAACCUGCCCUUGACUUUGGGAUAACUUCAGGAAACUGGGGCUAAUACCGGAUAGGAGCUCCUGCUGCAUGGUGGGGGUUGGAAAGUUUCGGCGGUUGGGGAUGGACUCGCGGCUUAUCAGCUUGUUGGUGGGGUAGUGGCUUACCAAGGCUUUGACGGGUAGCCGGCCUGAGAGGGUGACCGGCCACAUUGGGACUGAGAUACGGCCCAGACUCCUACGGGAGGCAGCAGUGGGGAAUAUUGCACAAUGGGCGGAAGCCUGAUGCAGCAACGCCGCGUGCGGGAUGACGGCCUUCGGGUUGUAAACCGCUUUCGCCUGUGACGAAGCGUGAGUGACGGUAAUGGGUAAAGAAGCACCGGCUAACUACGUGCCAGCAGCCGCGGUGAUACGUAGGGUGCGAGCGUUGUCCGGAUUUAUUGGGCGUAAAGGGCUCGUAGGUGGUUGAUCGCGUCGGAAGUGUAAUCUUGGGGCUUAACCCUGAGCGUGCUUUCGAUACGGGUUGACUUGAGGAAGGUAGGGGAGAAUGGAAUUCCUGGUGGAGCGGUGGAAUGCGCAGAUAUCAGGAGGAACACCAGUGGCGAAGGCGGUUCUCUGGGCCUUUCCUGACGCUGAGGAGCGAAAGCGUGGGGAGCGAACAGGCUUAGAUACCCUGGUAGUCCACGCUGUAAACGGUGGGUACUAGGUGUGGGGUCCAUUCCACGGGUUCCGUGCCGUAGCUAACGCUUUAAGUACCCCGCCUGGGGAGUACGGCCGCAAGGCUAAAACCCAAAGGAAUUGACGGGGCCCCGCACAAGCGGCGGAGCAUGCGGAUUAAUUCGAUGCAACGCGUAGAACCUUACCUGGGUUUGACAUGGAUCGGGAGUGCUCAGAGAUGGGUGUGCCUCUUUUGGGGUCGGUUCACAGGUGGUGCAUGGCUGUCGUCAGCUCGUGUCGUGAGAUGUUGGGUUAAGUCCCGCAACGAGCGCAACCCUUGUUCACUGUUGCCAGCACGUUAUGGUGGGGACUCAGUGGAGACCGCCGGGGUCAACUCGGAGGAAGGUGGGGAUGACGUCAAGUCAUCAUGCCCCUUAUGUCCAGGGCUUCACGCAUGCUACAAUGGCUGGUACAGAGAGUGGCGAGCCUGUGAGGGUGAGCGAAUCUCGGAAAGCCGGUCUCAGUUCGGAUUGGGGUCUGCAACUCGACCUCAUGAAGUCGGAGUCGCUAGUAAUCGCAGAUCAGCAACGCUGCGGUGAAUACGUUCCCGGGGC